rnacentral:misc_RNA from 1 species
UUUUAUUCAAGCAAGAUAAUGGUAGUAAAUAAACUCGUUCCUACUAUUAUAUCCGCUCUUAUUUAACAGUCACCUUGCAUUUAUUCCACAUUCUUUGCACCUUCUGCUCCCACACUUGAUUAAAUAGUUCAGUCACCCUGUGAAUCACAACUUCCCAUCCAUUUUUGCAAGUACGGUAUUUCACAUGGUCUUGCUGCCUUCCCAUUCUUCUGCCUUUUCACACAUUUCUCCACCUUCCUGUUGAUUCUUUCAUUCAACUCAUUAGAAUCCUUUCAUCUCCAAUAUCACACACACACUUCUCUCAUAUCUAGUACCUUGCCUGUGCCUCCAAUCUCUUCCCAAAACUCUUGUAUCAUCCUUCUUAUUUUUCCCUACCUGUCACCACUUUCCCAUUCAUCUUCAGGCUCUCCACAUUGUCAGGUUACCUAUCCCCUCACCACGCAGGAAUAUAUAUCAUUCACUACCACUUACCCUAUCUUUCUCUCAAUGACUGAAUCAAGCUUCACUCACAACUAUCCUCGUCUCUUAGCAUUCAUUAUCUUUCUCACGAUCUGCUGAUUCAUUUAACGUUGGCCGGCAUACAUUGACUGAUAACUAGAUCAGCACGGCGCCAAUAAGUGGGUCACAUCUUUGAACCAGUGACGCCUGAGAUCGCUUCCUAGAUUCUACAGUCAGAACUUUAGACAGACUAUUACACCUUUACAAGUUUACAACAGCGCUCCGGUGGUCUCCGCGUCCCUAACAAUAACAAUAUCACAAUGGACACACGGAUAAAGAAAAUUGCUGACACCGUUUCAGCAUAUCCGGACUUCCCUAAACCUGGAAUAGUAUUUCGAGAUAUAUUUCCCAUCUUAGCCAAUCCUGCCGUCUUCAGUGACCUCAUAAAUGUGAUGGUGGAGCGUGUUCAUGCAAGCUGUCCAACUCCUGAUGUAGUGGUUGGGUUAGAGUCUCGAGGUUUUCUUUUUGGCACCCCGCUGGCCUUGGCCCUGAAGGUGCCUUUUGUCCCAGUGCGCAAGAAGGGCAAGUUACCAGGAGAAGUAAAGCAAGUGUCCUUCACCUUGGAAUAUGGAACAGAUACUUUUGAAGCACAAGCUGGGAGGAUAAAAGAAGGCCAGAAUGUACUAAUAGUGGAUGAUCUCCUUGCCACUGGAGGCUCAAUGAAGGCUGCCUGUGAACUGGUAACAUCCAUGGGUGCUAAAGUGACACUGUGCCUGGUCUGCAUUGAGCUGGCCGACUUGAAAGGUCGAGAUAAGGUGAAGCAUCCUGUUGACACAAUUUUACAGUUUUAGCAACUACAUUUGAAAAUACAUUUUCAAUAUAAAUUUACACCACUUAAUUCAUUAUGGAUGUUACAUUAGCUUCACUAUGUAUAAUAGUGCUUUUAAAUCAUGACUAACAUUAUAGACAAGCAGCUUAUGAAAUGACCAUAAAUUUCAAACAUUGUAUGAGUAUAGCUUGGAAAAAGAGCCAAUGGUUCUCUACCUCGCAUGGUGUGCAUCAUCAUUUUUUGAGACAUAACCACCUUACAUGCCUCAUAGUGUCAGCAUCUCUGCACUCUUCCUGUGCUUUGCUACAUUAUUUUGUGACUGUUUGCUGUUGACUUUUUACAUUGCUAAAAUUUUGGCCCAGAUUAUAUUAUAAAGGAAGGUGUUAAAAUGACUACUACUAUUGAGACAAAGGAAGGGACUAUUGAGAAGCAUGUACUGCAUCAUUGUUGUUGUUUUCAAUUUAUGAACAUGAUAGAAUUUUAAAAUUAGAAGUAUGUUCAUGGAACAGAUCUUCUUACGGGGAAAAUUGAGUUUGACUUAUAAGUAAACUGAACCACAAUUGUGUACAAUCCAUUCCUUUACCAGGAAUGGAUUGACAAUCAAGGACUAACUACUGCACUUGGUUUUGUUGCCACAGUGAUUGCUCAUAGUUUACUCUUUGGAGCCUCACUUACUACUGCCUUGCCAUUCCAUUUUUACAUUCCAAGUGUGAUUUUGAAUGCAGUUGUAGUUUUGUGAUCCUAGUCUUGUUAUAUGUUUUGGGCAUCAAAUUUACCUAGUCUUGUUAUAUGUUUUGGGCAUCAAAUUUAAUCUUCUGGUUUUUGGGAUACAAUUAUAUUAUUGUGGUGGUUGUUUAUCUUGCUGGGCAGGAUACAGUGAUUUUUAUCUUAAUGAUUGUGUACAUUAUUGCUUUCCAUUUGUUGACAUGCUCAAAUAACUAUUCUUAAGAUAAGCUGGGAUACUAUUCAUAUGCUAAUGAGCUAGGACAACUGGUCUCGGGUAAUUGCCCCCAGACAACAGUCACCAGGACAAUUGCCGCCUAGACUAUUGCUGCCUUAAUACUUCCAAAUGUAAGAUUUGUACAUUGCACACAAUAGUGAUAUCAGAGUUUUAUAAACAGGGUUAUUAAAAUGAUAAGAUGUGACAAAUACUGGUUAGGAAAUCCAAUACUUUUUUUAUUGUAAUUUCUUACUAGGUUUAUUAUCCUCGGCAAAAGAUCGACACAAUUUCUUUUUGGUGGUUCCUGAUCACUCUUAACAUGAUUGAUAAUGACCUCAUUUAGAGUUUCUUACUUUAUUUAAUAUUAGGAGAAACUUCUAAAUGUUUGGAUGAAAUGUGAUGUAUUUAAUAUUAGGAGAAACUUCUAAAUGUUUGGAUGAAAUGUGAUGAUGUUGGACUGUAGGUGAUUAUGCCAUUCUUCCAAGAGUUGUUCAUACAAGGCAAAUCCUCUAAGACGCAUCAUACCUGAUACACAUGCUGGUGGGGGAACCAUGGGAGAUCUUCCAUUCUGGAGUACUCUUCACUCAAACACAUCCUCAAAAUAUGUAGUUAAUAUAAUAGUCAGCUUCAGAGGGAGAUGAUCCUGCAGUAGUUUAAUUAAAUACAUUAUUGAUAAUCUUGCGUGGGACAGAGGCCAGAGCAGGGAUCAUCUGUAUCUGCAAGCUAAAGUUUUCAUUUGUUUGGUUCAGCUUUUAUAAGGCCGUCCUUAAUUUUCACUCUUCUAGAAAUAGUCUGCUACAGUUGAUAAAAAAGCUUCAGGGGGAUGGGGUUGGAGGAGGACCUGUUGUCCUAAAGGGUCAAUUGUCUGGAGGCAAUUGUCCAAGGGCAGUUGUCUGAAGGACAGUUGUCCUGACACUUUUGUUAAUGCUUUAGUGACCUGUAUAUUGGUUUGUUGAACUAAGUAGACUUAUACAUUUUAUUAUCCAACAUUAAUAAAAUACAAUAGAAGUGUGUAAAUGCAUAUUCUAUACAUAAAAAUAUUCCAUACAUAA